CGCGGGAUGGAGCAGUGGUAGCUCGUCGGGCUCAUAACCCGAAGGUCACAGGUUCGAGUCCUGUUCCCGCUA
rnacentral:tRNA from 2 species